CCUACGGGGGGCAGCAGUGGGGAAUAUUGCACAAUGGGGGAAACCCUGAUGCAGCGACGCCGCGUGGGUGAAGAAGUACUUCGGUACGUAAAGCCCUAUCAGCAGGGAAGAAAACGACGGUACCUGAUUAAGAAGCCCCGGCUAACUACGUGCCAGCAGCCGCGGUAAUACGUAGGGGGCAAGCGUUAUCCGGAUUUACUGGGUGUAAAGGGAGCGUAGACGGCUAUGCAAGUCUGGAGUGAAAGGCGGGGGCCCAACCCCCGGACUGCUCUGGAAACUGUAGAGCUAGAGUGCAGGAGAGGUAA
rnacentral:rRNA from 1 species